rnacentral:rRNA from 1 species
GAUAAAACGCUGGCGGCGUGCUUAACACAUUCAAGUCGAACGGAGUAUGUUUGGAAGCUUGCUUUUGGACAUACUUAGUGGCGGACGGGUGAGUAAAUGCAUGAGCAACCUGCCUUCAAGAGGGGGAUAACACAUGGAAACGUGUGCUAAUACCGCAUAGACGUACGGACGGCAUCGUUUGUACGGGAAAGGAGUAAUCCGCUUGGAGAUGGGGCUCAUGUCCGAUUAGGUUGUUGGUGAGGUAACGG